UGGCGUGAAAGAAUAUUGUGUUGAUAUGUGCUUAUGAUGGCGGCUGCCGUGGCUCGUUAUCAACAGUUCAGCUACAGCUAUUUUCUUCAAAAAUUACCAAUGAAUUCGUUGGAGAAAAUGUGAAAGGGGCAUGCAGCCUACUGUCAACUAUUGUGUUGUAAAUCCUGGGAUCCUACUGAAUGUGUCAUCCAAAUGACAGAGGAUUUAUCAUAAUUAUCGACUGAUUUGAUUUGACUUGCUAGAUCACCAACCCCAGCAUGGACUAAUCUCUCAUUCCAUCUUCUAGAGAACCUUGGAUAACUGAUCGGUGGUUUUGUGUGUAAGUUUAGAGUUUACUUGUCAUGUCACUGAACUUUUUGGUUGUAGUCUUAA